GAAAGUGUGGUAUUGUGGUUUUCAUGUUAGACUACACUUCUGGAGACCAGGGUUCAAUUCCCAGCUUGGCCA